rnacentral:piRNA from 1 species
UUAACCUUUAACCUCAUAAAGGGGGCAAACUU